rnacentral:lncRNA from 1 species
UGUCGUCAUUCCAGCCCCAGGCUGAAACACAUUAUCGCCUUUCUCAAGUGGCCGAUCAAGGGACACUGGGCGGGGGCGGUCGGGUCACGCGCCUAAGCCCAGUGUCCCUUGAUCGGCCACUUGAGAAAGGCGAUAAUGUGUUUCAGCCUGGGGCUGGAAUGACGGCAUUCUGUUUUUUCCCGGGCUCUGAGCGCCUAUGGACGACGUGGGAAGUGUCACGUUAGAGCAGAGAUCCUUAGUAAAUGAUAGAGAUGGAAAAGAAGUUCAA